AGGCUUCUCAUCACCCACAUUCUUUUCAGUUUCAUUAACAGCUUCCUCUGCUACCUCUGCAACUUCGUCAGUUGACCUUCCCCAAUUUCCACGACCAGCCCCUUCACGUUUAAAUUCAUUUCCACGGCCAGUUCCACUGUGGCGUUCAAAUGCUCUACGAGGGCGUUCCCCAUCAGCAGCCUCUCCAUUAUUGAAACCACCCCGACGGCCACCACGACCACGAGGCCCACCAUAUCCACGUCUUUCAGUUGUCUUUCCACCCUCUCCAUCUUCAGGUGCAUUAGUGUUCUCAUUAUUGACAGAGUCGCGAUUGAAGCCACCACCCUCACGACCUCGCCCAUAUCCUCGUCCUCCACCUCGUCCACUACCACGACCUCCACGACUGCCUUCAUUCCUUGAUUCUCUUACAGCCUGAAAAGGUGGAAGAGGCUUGGAAGGAAG
rnacentral:misc_RNA from 1 species